AAGUCGAGCGGACAGAUGGGAGCUUGCUCCCUGAUGUUAGCGGCGGACGGGUGAGUAACACGUGGGUAACCUGCCUGUAAGACUGGGAUAACUCCGGGAAACCGGGGCUAAUACCGGAUGCUUGAUUGAACCGCAUGGUUCAAUUAUAAAAGGUGGCUUUUAGCUACCACUUACAGAUGGACCCGCGGCGCAUUAGCUAGUUGGUGAGGUAACGGCUCACCAAGGCGACGAUGCGUAGCCGACCUGAGAGGGUGAUCGGCCACACUGGGACUGAGACACGGCCCAGACUCCUACGGGAGGCAGCAGUAGGGAAUCUUCCGCAAUGGACGAAAGUCUGACGGAGCAACGCCGCGUGAGUGAUGAAGGUUUUCGGAUCGUAAAACUCUGUUGUUAGGGAAGAACAAGUACCGUUCGAAUAGGGCGGUACCUUGACGGUACCUAACCAGAAAGCCACGGCUAACUACGUGCCAGCAGCCGCGGUAAUACGUAGGUGGCAAGCGUUGUCCGGAAUUAUUGGGCGUAAAGCGCGCGCAGGCGGUUUCUUAAGUCUGAUGUGAAAGCCCCCGGCUCAACCGGGGAGGGUCAUUGGAAACUGGGGAACUUGAGUGCAGAAGAGGAGAGUGGAAUUCCACGUGUAGCGGUGAAAUGCGUAGAGAUGUGGAGGAACACCAGUGGCGAAGGCGACUCUCUGGUCUGUAACUGACGCUGAGGCGCGAAAGCGUGGGGAGCGAACAGGAUUAGAUACCCUGGUAGUCCACGCCGUAAACGAUGAGUGCUAAGUGUUAGAGGGUUUCCGCCC
rnacentral:rRNA from 1 species